UACGGGGGGGGCAAGCGUUGUUCGGAAUUACUGGGCGUAAAGGGUUCGUAGGUGGCUCGCUAAGUCAGACGUGAAAUCCCUCAGCUUAACUGGGGAACUGCGUCUGAGACUGGCAAGCUUGAGUGCAGGAGAGGAACGCGGAAUUCCAGGUGUAGCGGUGAAAUGCGUAGAUAUCUGGAGGAACACCGGUGGCGAAGGCGGCGUUCUGGACUGUAACUGACACUGAGAGACGAAAGCCAGGGUAGCAAACGGG
rnacentral:rRNA from 1 species